GAUGAACGCUAGCGACAGGCUUAACACAUGCAAGUCGCGGGGCAGCAUGGGGGUUGCUUGCAAUCCCCGAUGGCGACCGGCGCACGGGUGAGUAACGCGUAUCCAACCUGCCCUUCACCACGGGAUAACCCGGCGAAAGUCGGACUAAUACCGUAUGUUGUCCAUUGACGGCACCCGAGUUGGACGAGCUGGUUGGCAGGGUAGGAGGGGGAUGCGUCCGAUUGGCUGGACGGGGGGGUGACGGCCCACCGGGGCGGCGAUCGGUAGGGGCGCGGAGAGGACGGUCCCCCACACGGGAGCUGAGACACGGACCAGAGUCCUACGGCAGGCAGCAGUGAGGUAUAUUGGUCAAUGGGCGUAAGCCUGAACCAGCCAAGUAGCGUGCAGGAUGACGGCGCUAUGGGUUGUAAGCUGCUUUUAUGCGGGGAUAAAGUGGCCCACGUGUGGGUUUUUGCAGGUACCGCAUGAAUAAGGACCGGCUAAUUCCGUG
rnacentral:rRNA from 1 species